rnacentral:rRNA from 1 species
UACGUAGGGGGCAAGCGUUGUCCGGAUUUAUUGGGCGUAAAGAGCGUGUAGGCGGCUAGAUAGGUCCGUUGUGAAAACUCGAGGCUCAACCUCGAGACGUCGAUGGAAACCAUCUGGCUAGAGUCCGGAAGAGGAGAGUGGAAUUCCUGGUGUAGCGGUGAAAUGCGCAGAUAUCAGGAAGAACACCCGUGGCGAAGGCGGCUCUCUGGUACGUGACUGACGCUGAGACGCGAAAGCGUGGGGAGCAAAAGGG